rnacentral:lncRNA from 1 species
GAGGCGCUCCUCACCUCCCAGAUGAUGGGCAGCAGGAGAAAGGCUCACAGAUGGAGGAACGUACCUUGAAGUUCAGAUGAGAUUUCGGACUUUUGAGUUGAUGCUGAAACAGCUUGAGAUUUUUGGGGACUACUGAGAGAUGAUAAUUGUAUUGUGCAAUAUGAGAAGGACAUGAGAUUUGGUGGGCAUAGGUGUGAAAUGACAUUGUUUGGAUGUGUUUACCCUCCAAA